CCUUCGAUAGCUCAGUUGGUAGAGCGGUGGACUGUAGAUCGGAAUUGCAAUAAGUAGAAAUCCAUAGGUCGCUGGUUCAAAUCCGGCUCGAAGGA
rnacentral:tRNA from 1 species